GAGAAUGCCAAGGUCUACUCAACAGCUGAAGAGAGACUGCAGUACCAACAGCACUUCUGUUCAUGGGUCUAAGUCACAGUAGUGAGAGAGAAAACACCAUGGACCUUAUCCUGCUUGUCAUGGCUGCAGAAGGCAUGCUGGAUAUGCUAUGAAGGUUACUCUAGCAAAAUACUGAAGGAGAUGUACCACUACAGGCUGAGCAACCACCAGACACCAAGAUUAGGUAAAUGGUGUCUGAAAUCCAACUCAAGGUCUUCUGAGCAAGCCACAGGCUCUAGUGAGGGACUGCAUCACCAGGGAAAAGGACACCAGAGACGUCAUUAUGGAGUAGAGAAAAACAAACGCGUUAGGUUAUCUUUGAAGCUUUC